rnacentral:rRNA from 1 species
GGCCCUACGGGUGGCAGCAGUGGGGAAUAUUGGACAAUGGGGGCAACCCUGAUCCAGCGACGCCGCGUGUGUGAAGAAGGCCUGCGGGUUGUAAAGCACUUUUAGUGGGGAGGAAACGCUCAGACCUAACACGUCUGGGAACUGACUUAACCCAAAGAAAAAGCACCGGCUAACUCUGUGCCAGCAGCCGCGGUAAUACAGAGGGUGCAAGCGUUAAUCGGAAUUACUGGGCGUAAAGCGAACGUAGGCGGUUACCUAAGUCGGAUGUGAAAUCCCCGGGCUCAACCUGGGAAUUGCAUUCGAGACUGGGUGGCUAGAAUGCGGAAGAGGGAAGCGGAAUUUCCGGUGUAGCGGUGAAAUGCGUAGAUAUCGGAAGGAACAUCAGUGGCGAAAGCGGCUUCCUGGUCCAGCAUUGACGCUCAGGUUCGAAAGCGUGGGGAGCAAACAGGAUUAGAUACCCCAGUAGUCA